AACGAUCAAGCAGUUUUUAGGCGGUUGAUCACAAAGAGAUCAUCCAAGGAGUAUAAAAGGGAGAAAAGACAUAGAGCAAAGGACCGAAUCAAAAACUCUCGAACAGAGAACAUGUAAUUUUAAAUUCCUUAGUUUAGAUUUAAACACUUCUUUCAGUAACUCGUGUGCUUGCGCCCCUUGGAGGCAUUCUGUUUUUAAUUUCCAAUUGUAAAGUCAUCGCCAAUAAAAGAACAC
rnacentral:lncRNA from 1 species